rnacentral:rRNA from 1 species
CCUACGGGGUGCAGCAGUAGGGAAUCUUCCACAAUGGGCGAAAGCCUGAUGGAGCAACGCCGCGUGGGUGAAGAAGGUCUUCGGAUCGUAAAACCCUGUUGUUAGAGAAGAAAGUGCGUGAGAGUAACUGUUCACGUUUCGACGGUAUCUAACCAGAAAGCAACGGCUAACUACGUGCCAGCAGCCGCGGGAAUACGUAGGUGGCAAGCGUUAUCCGGAUUUAUUGGGCGUAAAGGGAACGCAGGCGGUCUUUUAAGUCUGAUGUGAAAGCCUUCGGCUUAACCGGAGUAGUGCAUUGGAAACUGGGAGACGUGAGUGCAGAAGAGGAGAGUGGAACUCCAUGUGUAGCGGUGAAAUGCGUAGAUAUAUGGAAGAACACCAGUGGCGAAAGCGGCUCUCUGGUCUGUAACUGACGCUGAGGUUCGAAAGCGUGGGUAGCAAACAGGAUUAGAUACCCUAGUAGUC